UCAAUCAAUUGCCCUGUUGAAUGAAUGAGGUGUGGAUGAGCAAGGCAUGGAAGGCAGCACCUCCAGACAGCCUCAACUGUUGGAGAGGGGCUGGGAGCCAGACCCAAGGACAAUAAAACGUGUCAAGUGGGCUCAUUAAAGAGAAGCAGACAUACCGAUGGCCUCGGGGGUUAGAAGCAAGCACCUUCUUUUGGAAACACCCUCUUUGCAGCAUUGGGACAACACUCAAAAGAAAGCAGCACAAAGGACCAAUGGACACAGACACAGAGUUUGAAUCUGGUAUAGAUUUGCAUAAGAGGAAAGCUGCUAUAAAAGUGAGGUGUCUUGCAGAGGACCCCGGGUCUCGUCUUAUCAACAUGGGAGCAUCGAUCCGGAUCGGCAGAAGCCCGGCUCCACCCCCUCCCCCAUCUAACUCACCUGGCCAGUGAAGUUAAGGGGAGCAACUAAUUGGUAACAACAAGACGGAGUGUGUUUGUGUGUGUGUGUGAGUGUAAGUGUAAUAUAUGCAUAUGAUACAGUGUUAAUGAAUACAUGUAUUACUAAUAAAUGUGGCGUUUUGUCUUA